AAGUGUGGCCAAGGCAACGGAUCCGGAUCCCGAUUACAAUCUAAGCCAGAGGAAAGCCCACGACACACAUGGCAUUCAGGCGAUUCGAGGCGAGCAAACAGACAUUAACACGUGAGCGCGGUUAUCUGCAGGAUCUGCACUAAAUCUCGGAGUCUCAAAUCUCUGAAUGCCCGAGUGUGUUUGCCACUUGGCACCUCCUCAAAACAAAUACCCUACCAAUGCAAUGGGGUCCUGACCAACCAGGCCUUUCCAGUGACACUAAACUAAUUAAAAGUUUGCCAGACUCCGGGUUUCGGGUUGGCCAGUCCAUAUGGCCUCGACUACGGCUUAUUGGCAUAAAUUACGCAUUGAAAUCACCAACAUAACCAAAUCAAAAAAGGGACCUCUGCGCACACGGACAUGGAACACGGACACGGAACACGGACACGAACAAUUUCCCCCUGUGAACGCAGCGGCAAAAAAUUUGCACACAAACUACGUGACUUCAAUUCCUCAGUGAGGCUGUAAAAAAAAAUAGUGUAUAAAAUCCGGCGGGGUGUACGAACGUGUGUA